UACGUAGGGUGCGAGCGUUAAUCGGAAUUACUGGGCGUAAAGCGUGCGCAGGCGGUUUUGUAAGCCAGAUGUGAAAUCCCCGGGCUUAACCUGGGAAUGGCAUUUGGGACUGCAAGGCUUGAGUGCGGCAGAGGAGACUGGAAUUCCUGGUGUAGCAGUGAAAUGCGUAGAUAUCAGGAGGAACACCGAUGGCGGAGGCAGGUCUCUGGGCUGACACUGACGCUCAUGCACGAAAGCGUGGGGAGCAAACAGG
rnacentral:rRNA from 1 species